rnacentral:rRNA from 1 species
CAGACCUGAAAUCAGGCGAGGUUACCCGCUGAACUUAAGCAUAUUAUUAAGCGGAGGAGAAGAAAAUAACUAUGAUUCCCUUAGUAACGGCGAGUGAACCGGGAUCAGCUCAAAGUGGAAAUCAACUGCUCUUUCCGAGCUGUUGACUUGUAGCCUCGAGAGGCGUUACCAGUGGAAGCGCAGGGUUAAGUUUCUUGGGAAAGAACAUCAUAGAGGGUGAGAAUCCCGUCCUUCCCCUGCGUUUUUUGUUCCACGUACGGUACGCUUUUAUAGAGUCGCGUUCAUCGGGAUUUGAGCGCAAAAUGUGUGGUAGGUUUCACAUAAAGCUAAGUACUGGCGCGAGACCGAUAGCAAACAAGUACCGUGAGGGAAAGAUGAAAAGUUCUUUGGAAAGAGAGUUAAAAGUGCCUGAAAUUGCUGAAAAGGAAGCGAUUGGGACCUUUUUGAUUCCAAGAAGUGCCGCCGGUUUGCCAUCUAUCCCUUUGCCUUCUCUCUCUCACCAGGUUUA